GAUGAAGAACGCAGCGAAAUGCGAUAAGUAAUGUGAAUUGCAGAAUUCAGUGAAUCAUCGAAUCUUUGAACGCACAUUGCGCCCCUUGGUAUUCCAUGGGGCAUGCCUGUUCGAGCGUCAUUUGUACCUUCAAGCUCUGCUUGGUGUUGGGUGUUUGUCUCGCCUCUGCGUGUAGACUCGCCUCAAAACAAUUGGCAGCCGGCAUAUUGAUUUCGGAGCGCAGUACAUCUCGCGCUUUGCACUCAUAACGACGACGUCCAAAAGUACAUUUUUACACUCUUGACCUCGGAUCAGGUAGGGAUACCCGCUGAACUUAAGCAUAUCAAUAAGCGGAGGA
rnacentral:misc_RNA from 1 species